CCUACGGGAGGCAGCAGUGGGGAAUAUUGGACAAUGGGGGGAACCCUGAUGCAGCGACGCCGCGUGAGUGAAGAAGUAUUUCGGUAUGUAAAGCUCUAUCAGCAGGGAAGAAAAUGACGGUACCUGACUAAGAAGCCCCGGCUAACUACGUGCCAGCAGCCGCGGUAAUACGGAGGAGGCGAGCGUUAUCCGGAUUUAUUGGGUUAAAAGGGUGCGUAGGCGGAAGGCUAAGUCAGCGGUAAAAGGGCGGUGCUCAACACCGGCCUGCCGUUGAAACUGGUCUGCUUGAGUGAGCGAGAAGUAAGCGGAAUUCGUGGUGUAGCGGUGAAAUGCGUAGAUAUCACGAAGAACACCGAUGGCGAAGGCAGCAUACCGGAGUGUAACUGACGCUGAGGCACGAAAGCGUGGGGAGCGAACAGGAUUAGAUACCCGAGUAGUC
rnacentral:rRNA from 1 species